UACGUAGGGGGCAAGCGUUGUCCGGAUUCAUCGGGCGUAAAGAGCGUGUAGGCGGCCAGGUAGGUCGGUUGUGAAAACUGGAGGCUCAACCUUCAGAGGUCGACCGAAACCAUCUGGCUAGAGUCCGGGAGAGGAGAGUGGAAUUCCUGGUGUAGCGGUGAAAUGCGCAGAUAUCAGGAAGAACACCCGUGGCGAAAGCGGCUCUCUGGAACGGUACUGACGCUGAGACGCGAAAGCGUGGGGAGCGAACAGG
rnacentral:rRNA from 1 species